rnacentral:rRNA from 1 species
UACAGAGGGGGCAAGCGUUGUUCGGAAUUACUGGGCGUAAAGGGCGCGUAGGCGGCCUGCUAAGUCGAACGUGAAAUCCCUGGGCUCAACCCAGGAACUGCGUCCGAUACUGGUUGGCUUGAAUCCGGGAGAGGGAUGUGGAAUUCCAGGUGUAGCGGUGAAAUGCGUAGAUAUGCGGAGGAACACCGAUGGCGAAGGCAAUCCCCUGGGCCUGCACUGACGCUCAUGCACGAAAGCGUGGGGAGCAAACAGG